rnacentral:lncRNA from 1 species
CCAACCCCCCGCAAAUUUGGAAACCCGUGAACCAGAAGACUAGACAGAGAGACAGCAUGUUAAUUGUACAAAUGAAGAGGAAGAGAGAAGCUCUCCAAAGUGACUGUGUCCCAGGUGGAGCUUCAGGAUCUUGCUCACAGAUUGUUAAAAUUGAGUAAGAAGAUGAGAGUCACAGGUAGGUCAAGGUGCUAUGAAGAAACAUGUGCUAAAAAAGAAAGUUAUCUAUCAGUAGAAUAGCUAGUU